rnacentral:rRNA from 1 species
UCACGGGAGACACACGGCGGGUGCUAACGUCCGUCGUGAAGAGGGAAACAACCCAGACCGCCAGCUAAGGUCCCAAAGUCAUGGUUAAGUGGGAAACGAAGUGGGAAGGCUCAGACAGCCAGGAUGUUGGCUUAGAAGCAGCCAUCAUUUAAAGAAAGCGUAAUAGCUCACUGGUCGAGUCGGCCCGCGCGGAAGAUGUAACGGGGCUAAACCAUGCACCGAAGCUGCGGCAGCGACACAAAGUGUUGUUGGGUAGGGGAGCGUUCUGUAAGCCUGCGAAGGUGUGCUGUGAGGUAUGCUGGAGGUAUCAGAAGUGCGAAUGCUGACAUAAGUAACGAUAAUGCGGGUGAAAAACCCGCACGCCGGAAGACCAAGGGUUCCUGUCCAACGUUAAUCGGGGCAGGGUGAGUCGACCCCUAAGGCGAGGCUGAAAAGCGUAGUCGAUGGGAAACGGGUUAAUAUUCCCGUACUGGUGGUAACUGCGAUGGGGGAACGGAGAAGGCUAGGUUGUCCGGGCGACGGUCGUCCCGGUUCAAGCAGGUAGGCAGAGUGAUUAGGCAAAUCCGGUCACUUAAUGCUGAGAUGUGAUGACGAACCACCAAGGUGGUGAAGCAAUUGAUGCCCCGCUUCCAGGAAAAGCCUCUAAGCUUCAGGUUACCAACAAUCGUACCCCAAACCGACACAGGUGGUCAGGUAGAGAAUACUCAGGCGCUUGAGAGAACUCGGGUGAAGGAACUAGGCAAAAUGGUGCCGUAACUUCGGGAGAAGGCACGCUGGCGGUAGGUAAAGUCCCUUGCGGACGGCGCUGAAGCCAGUCGAAGAUACCAGCUGGCUGCAACUGUUUAUUAAAAACACAGCACUGUGCAAACACGAAAGUGGACGUAUACGGUGUGACGCCUGCCCGGUGCUGGAAGGUUAAUUGAUGGGGUUAGCGCAAGCGAAGCUCCUGAUCGAAGCCCCAGUAAACGGCGGCCGUAACUAUAACGGUCCUAAGGUAGCGAAAUUCCUUGUCGGGUAAGUUCCGACCUGCACGAAUGGCGUAAUGAUGGCCAGGCUGUCU